rnacentral:tRNA from 1 species
GCCUUCGUGGUGUAAUGGCCAGCACACUCGGCCCGUAUUCGAGAGGUCCGAGGUUCAAAUCCCGGAGAGGGCA